rnacentral:rRNA from 1 species
GAAGGCAGACCCGGGGAACUGAAACAUCUAAGUACCCGGAGGAAAGGAAAUCAAUUGAUACUCCCCUAGUAGCGGCGAGCGAACGGGGACCAGCCGAGCCGAGAUUGUGAUUAGAAUGGCCUGGAAAGGCCAGCCAUAGCGGGUGACAGCCCCGUAUAAGAAGCAUGAUCGGACGUAUUAAGUAGGGCGGAACACGUGAAAUUCUGUCUGAAGAUCGGAGGACCACCUUCGAAGGCUAAGUACUCCUUACUGACCGAUAGUGAACCAGUACCGUGAGGGAAAGGUGAAAAGCACCCCGA